rnacentral:tRNA from 1 species
GGAGGGCCUAUGACUCAUUGGUGGAGCAUCUGCAUGGUAUACGGAAGGUCCCAGGUUCAAUCCCUGGCAUCUCCA